AGUGAACGCUGGCGGUAGGCCUAACACAUGCAAGUCGAACGGCAGCACAGUAAGAGCUUGCUCUUACGGGUGGCGAGUGGCGGACGGGUGAGGAAUACAUCGGAAUCUACUUUUUCGUGGGGGAUAACGUAGGUAAACUUACGCUAAUACCGCAUACGACCUACGUGUGAAAGCAGGGGAUCUUCGGACCUUGCGCGAUUGAAUGAGCCGAUGUCGGAUUAGCUAGUUGGCGGGGUAAAGGCCCACCAAGGCGACGAUCCGUAGCUGGUCUGAGAGGAUGAUCAGCCACAAGGGAACUGAGACACGGUCCAGACUCCUACGGGAGGCAGCAGUGGGGAAUAUUGGACAAGGGGCGCAAGCCUGAUCCAGCCAGACCGCGUGGGUGAAGAAGGCCUUCGGGUUGUAAAGCCCGUUUGUUGGGAAAGAAAAGCAGCAGGUUAAUACCCCGCUGUUCUGACGGUACCCAAAGAAUAAGCACCGGCUAACUUCGUG
rnacentral:rRNA from 1 species